rnacentral:lncRNA from 1 species
AUUAAGAACUAUAAAAGGGACUUUGACAAAAUUUUUAUGUUAACUAAAAAAUAAGAAAAAAAAUGUAAAAGACUUAAAUAAUAAAGAAAAAAAAUUGUCUAAAAAUGUCUAAGAAAGUCAGAGAAAUAAAAUAAAAGGUCAGAGAAAAGUUAGAGGUCAGAGAAAAAGAUUGUUACAAAAAGUUAUAGAGGGUUAAAGUUGUAAAAGGUCAGAGGAAAGUUGUCAAAGGUCAGGGAAAAGGUUGUUACAAGUGAAAAAAAAUGUAAACUGUGCUAUGGUUUCUCAUGUCUAAAAUUUUAAUCAUAUUAAGCUGAUUUUGUUUUUUAAAAAAAAGUCCUGUUUAUUUCUCAAGUAAAUUAUGUAUACUUGUUUUAAAAUUGUUCUAUUUCCUGGUAUAAGCUUAAGCAUGUUAAGCAAAGCAAGUUACGGCCAUUUUGUAACUGGUCACAUGACUUGACUGGUCGCCAUUUUGCUAAAGUUAAAAAAUACUUAAACCGCCAUCUUGACUAAAGGUGACCACAUGAAAAUUAGAGUUUAUAAUGUCAGACAGACUGCCAGAUCCUGACAGUGACCCAAAGUCUCCAAAGAAGAUUACGAGGCACCUCAGUUCCUACACCUGGACCAGUGAGCGAGAUGCUCAGAUGUGAUACCUGCCGCCUGCCAGAACCUGGCCGAGACUGUGGACAAAGCUGCUGGACACUGGAAAAUUGAUUGCACCCCUUUGCCUAGACAAAACAAGACAUCUGAAUAUCAGUUGCUGACUACAGACUGUUCUAAGACUGCGAGCCCUGGACUUGCUGUGGAUGUGAACCAGUUCAGCUGAUAU